CGACCUCAGGUCAGACGUGGCGACCCGCUGAAUUUAAGCAUAUUAGUCAGCGGAGGAAAAGAAACUAACGAGGAUUCCCUCAGUAACGGCGAGUGAAGAGGGAAGAGCCCAGCGCCGAAUCCCCGCCCCGCGGUGGGGCGCGGGAGGUGUGGCGUACGGAAGCCCCCAUCCCCGGCGCCGCUCUCGGGGGGCCCAAGUCCUUCUGAUCGAGGCCCAGCCCGCGGACGGUGUGAGGCCGGUAGCGGCCCCCCGGCGCGCCGGGCCCGGGGCUUCUCGGAGUCGGGUUGCUUGGGAAUGCAGCCCAAAGCGGGUGGUAAACUCCAUCUAAGCUAAAUACCGGCACGAGACCGAUAGCCAACAAGUACGAAGGGAAAGUGAAAAGAAUUGAAGAGAGAGUUCAAGAGGCGUGAAACCGUUAAGAGGAACGGUCCGCGCAGUCGCCGAGAUGCAAUCG
rfam:Gallus gallus breed Red Jungle fowl, inbred line TCD001 Contig6928.1, whole genome shotgun sequence. [11-NOV-2016]